UGGUGAGGAAACAGAACCGACUCCGGUGAGU
rnacentral:piRNA from 1 species